rnacentral:rRNA from 1 species
UACGAAGGGGGCGAGCGUUGUUCGGAAUUACUGGGCGUAAAGGGCGCGUAGGCGGUGUGUCAAGUCAGGCGUGAAAGCCCCGGGCUCAACCUGGGAACCGCGCUUGAGACUGGAGAACUAGAGUUCGGGAGAGGAUGGUGGAAUUCCCAGUGUAGAGGUGAAAUUCGUAGAUAUUCGGAAGAACACCAGUGGCGAAGGCGACAUACUGGCUCAUUACUGACGCUGAGGCUCGAAAGCGUGGGGAGCAAACAGG